GAUGAAGAACGUAGCGAAAUGCGAUAAGUAAUGUGAAUUGCAGAAUUCAGUGAAUCAUCGAAUCUUUGAACGCACCUUGCGCUCUUUGGUAUUCCGAAGAGCAUGCCUGUUUGAGUGUCAUGAAAAUAUCAACCUUGACUUGGGUUUUGUGCUCUAGUCUCGGCUUGGAAUUGGGUGCUUGCCGCUUUUACGAGCGGCUCACCUUAAAUGUAUUAGCUGGAUCUGUCUUUGAGACUUGGUUUGACUUGGCGUAAUAAGUAUUUCGCUAAGGACAUUCUUCGGAGUGGCCUCGUUUCUAGGACGCUUGUCCGCUUUCCAAUACAAGUUCCACCUCGUGGACAUGACUUUUUAUUAUCUGGGCUCAAAUCAGGUAGGACUACCCGCUGAACUUAAGCAUAUCAAUAAGCGGAGGA
rnacentral:misc_RNA from 1 species